rnacentral:rRNA from 1 species
AGAUUGAACGCUGGCGGCAUGCCUAACACAUGCAAGUCGAACGGGAGUAGCAAUACUCUAGUGGCGGACGGGUGAGGAAUACGUAGGAAUUUGCCCUUAAGUGGGGGAUAACCCGGGGAACCCGGAUUAAUACCGCAUGACCUCGAAAGAGCAAAGUGGGGGAUCGCAAGACCUCACGCUUUUGGAGAAGCCUACGUCGGAUUAGCUAGUUGGUGAGGUAAUGGCUCA